rnacentral:miRNA from 1 species
UCGACUACUGUUGAGUCAUCAUCAGGAAUUAUGAAAGCUACUAAAAAUUUUACAAGUUACAUCUGUAUAUAUAACUUGUAAAAUUUUUAGUAGCUUUCAUAAUUCAGUGAUGAUGACUCAACAGUAGUCGA